UGCUUCCAGCCAUGAACUUACUCUGCCUGCGAUGUAUUUUUUUUAUCCCGUGUUUAUUUUCUUCAGUUAAGUUGUGAACUUAAACCAAACCUCUGCAUUGGCAAAAUACUAGCACCUUUAUGCACCGUUUCUUCAUUGGUGGCUGGGCACCGCGGAUGGCAUCCCCUUCUUCGUGGCAUGGCACAGGUAAGAUAAUGCUGCUAACCUAACUUACUACAAGACGCACGGCACAUUUUGUGUCAGGCAUUUCGCAAAGUGGUGUUUUGAAUAGCAUAUCUUUUCAUCUCAGAUGUAUCUUGUAGGUUAACUUGGAUUCACUCGUUUCGUUUCAUCCAAGUGGAUUUCAUUGUUGUUUCAGCCACGUCUGCACAAUGUAGGCUAUUGUAAAAUAUAUUUCUAUAUCUUAUUUUCUGUUUACAUGUCCAAUAUGUUCAUUUACUGUAGGCCUAUUAUUAUUGACCACUUAUGUUACCAGUCCAUCACUGUUACCUGUCCUGUCUUGCACUUUCUGUCUGUCUGUAAAUUGUCAGUCCUGUCUAUGUCCUGGCAUGGUAGAGAGAAAACGUAAUUUCGUUUCCCUUGUAUGACCAUAUGAAGAAAGUGACAAUAAAAGCUGACUUGACAUACUUCAAUGUUUCAAAUCGGUGUUGCAUUACAUUGCACAUGUAGAAACACAUAGGACAGAAUGUCGGUUACAUAGGCCUACUUUGAUUAAAUAAUUUUGAUUUGAUUUGAUUAAAUAAAUAAUUUGAAAAGAUGACCUUCACAAGAGAAAGAUAAGCACAACAAACCUGUUAUUUAUCUUUUAUUUUUAUUGUUUUGUAAUUGCAGGUUCAUCAGUCAGGUGGUCAGCACCCAAACUAAAACCAUGAGGCAUGGUGGCCAGGAUGACGUCCAAGAAUUGCAUCCCAGCACCACAGAUGGGGGAGCCAACAUGAAGAGGUGUCCAGAGAGGCUUCUUUCGCUUGGGCUUUGCAGCAGCACCAGGACCUCACCAUCAGUGAUGCUGGUCCCCUCAUCCAUCGGGCCUACCCUUACAUUCCUCCCCUGAUACACUGAUCACCUGUACCAGUUGUUGGAGUUUUCAGCAGGGCUCUAAAUUAUUUUUAAUCACUAGUAGCCAAAAUGGCUAGUAUGUUAAUCUCCGGUACAUUAAACAAUGGGUCAAAGUGCCAAGUAUGUUUUUUCUUUUCUACCAGCAAAACUUAAUUUUCCCAGCAUUUGGCUGGUUGGCUGGUGAGCCCUGGUUGUCAUUGAUAGUGAGUAGUUGUGAUAAUAAAUAACUGAAAUGAUGAAGUCCAUCCA